AUUGAACGCUGGCGGCAGGCUUAACACAUGCAAGUCGAGCGGAGCGAGGGUGCUUGCACCUUAGCUUAGCGGCGGACGGGUGAGUAAUGCUUAGGAAUCUGCCUAUUAGUGGGGGACAACAUUCCGAAAGGGAUGCUAAUACCGCAUACGCCCUACGGGGGAAAGCAGGGGCUCUUCGGACCUUGCUCUAAUAGAUGAGCCUAAGUCGGAUUAGCUAGUUGGUGGGGUAAAGGCCUACCAAGGCGACGAUCUGUAGCGGGUCUGAGAGGAUGAUCCGCCACACUGGGACUGAGACACGGCCCAGACUCCUACGGGAGGCAGCAGUGGGGAAUAUUGGACAAUGGGCGGAAGCCUGAUCCAGCCAUGCCGCGUGUGUGAAGAAGGCCUUUUGGUUGUAAAGCACUUUAAGCGAGGAGGAGGCUACUAGUAUUAAUACUACUGGAUAGUGGACGUUACUCGCAGAAUAAGCACCGGCUAACUCUGUGCCAGCAGCCGCAGUAA
rnacentral:rRNA from 1 species